rnacentral:rRNA from 1 species
CCUACGGGAGGCAGCAGUGGGGAAUUUUGGACAAUGGGCGCAAGCCUGAUCCAGCAAUGCCGCGUGAGUGAAGAAGGCCUUCGGGUUGUAAAGCUCUUUUGUCAGGGAAGAAACGGUGGGGGCUAAUAUCUCCUACUAAUGACGGUACCUGAAGAAUAAGCACCGGCUAACUACGUGCCAGCAGCCGCGGUAAUACGUAGGGUGCAAGCGUUAAUCGGAAUUACUGGGCGUAAAGCGUGCGCAGGCGGUUUUGUAAGUCUGUCGUGAAAGCCCCGGGCUCAACCUGGGAAUUGCGAUGGAGACUGCAAGGCUUGAAUCUGGCAGAGGGGGGUAGAAUUCCACGUGUAGCAGUGAAAUGCGUAGAGAUGUGGAGGAACACCGAUGGCGAAGGCAGCCCCCUGGGUCAAGAUUGACGCUCAUGCACGAAAGCGUGGGGAGCAAACAGGAUUAGAUACCCUGGUAGUCCACGCCCUAAACGAUGUCUACUAGUUGUCGGGUUUUAAUUAACUUGGUAACGCAGCUAACGCGUGAAGUAGACCGCCUGGGGAGUACGGUCGCAAGAUUAAAACUCAAAAUGAAAUUGACGG